CUGAGGUAGAAAGUGGGGGACCUUCGGGCCUCACGCUAUUCGAGCGGCCGACGUCUGAUUAGCUAGUUGGUGGGGUAAAGGCUCACCAAGGCGACGAUCAGUAGCGGGUCUGAGAGGAUGAUCCGCCACACUGGGACUGAGACACGGCCCAGACCCCUACGGGAGGCAGCAGUAGGGAAUUUUGGACAAUGGGCGCAAGCCUGA
rnacentral:rRNA from 1 species